UUCUGGAGGAUACUGCAUUGGUUACCUCUGGCAUAUGGUAUGGAUUUGGGAAACGUGUGAUUUCCAACUGCACCAGGAGGAAUGACAGAGAGGACAUCACAGGACAUUUGUCAUCCCUUAGCCGAAAUACUGAAUCAUACAGGGUCUGCAUGGACAUGUUCGUUCUGCUCCUUGGUACCACACUUACUUGAAUGAGAGGAUCUUUUGUAAACUGCUUUGAGAGCCUCUUAAGGGCUAUGAAGCAGAAUAUAUGCAUUUUGAAUGAAUAUGUCAGGCUCAACCCAAGCAACUGCCACUAUACUGAUUCUCUGACAGACCCAGUUUUCUGGCUUUCAUCCCAGCAGGUCUCACAGUCCUUUCACCUCAACUGACUGUCUCAUACAUCAUGGUGGCAGCACUCAACCCAAGUUGGAACAUAGGAAGCUGUCUUAUAUUGAGUCACAACCUUGAUCCACUCAGCUUGGAGUUGUGUACACUGACUGGCAGCAGCUCUCCAGGGUUUCAGACAGGGGACAUUCCAAUUACUACCUUGAGGUACUGGAGAUUGAGACAUUCUGCAUGCAAAGUGAAUUCUCUACCACUGAUUGAUGACCUCUGUACAGUCUGAGAGGUCUGCCACCCUAAUGAUGCUUGGAGUCUAAGUAGGCAGAGAGUGGAAAGGGUCCUUAGUCCUGAGCUCUUGCAGGAACUGUGGGAGAUUAGCAGCCAAACCUAAAAAAAAGCAUAUUCUUACUAGUUAGCAAAAGAAGGAGCGAAUACCACAGAGCUGUAUUGCUGAUAGGCAGAUACUCAGACCAUAGAAAUACAAUUGGUAGACAGGACAAUUGGUGUCAUUUCCCUUCCUCUCCUGGACAGGAAGGAGCAUAUAGUGCUUCCUAUUCCUCUCUCCUCUCUUCUUUUGACCAGCAUUGGAUGCAGAUAUGCCUCUGCUUGCUUCAGCUUUAGGCACAUGCCUGAAGCUCGUUGUAUUGUAUAUAUAUAUAUAUCAUUUUCCUCCAUAGUUUUUACUACUGCCAUUGCUGUGAACAAAUGCAAGAUUAUGCUGUGAUCCUGCAAGGCAAGAGUUCUUGGGCAGGAUCAGCAUCCUCCAGCAGAGAACACUUCUGCAUGCUGACUCUCACGCUGCCUGGGUGGGAGAUGCUGCUCCCCGCUGGUCCAGAGGAAAGAGGCUUCCAGGAAGAGGUGAUGAAGGCAGCUGCAACACUUAAACUUAGUAGCUUGCUUGUGGGGAUGCUUUGUUCUGGCCUCCGCAGUUUGAGAGAGGGAGUAGAGUGUUUUGACCUGAAGUCCCAAGACAAAGUAUCUGUAAGAAGUCUGGGAAAGAAGUGUUACCAAUGUGCUCUUUCUAUAUAUGCAUGACACGAGAUCAGAGCAAUAAAGUCUCAUGCCCUGUCA